GGGCUGGGACAGCGGGAACGGAGCCCGGAUAGCGAGAUCGGGGCCGGGGUAGCGGGAUCGGUGCUGGGACAGCGGGAUGGGAGCCGGGAUACCAGGAACGGGACCGGGACGAGACCAGGGAACGGGAGCGGCAACGAGACUAGGACAGUGAGAACGGGACCGGGACAGCGGGAUCGGAGCCGGGAUUAGGGCCGGCACAGCGGGAGCGAGCGGUGCUCUCUCAGGGUCGGCAGCCGCGGGAGGGAAGCGGAGCCCCGGGGCCCUUAGCACUGUCCCGGCUCCGUUCCCGUUGCCGGCCCCAUGGAGGCGGAGAGCGGCUCGGGCGGCAGCCGGGACUCGCUGGGCAGCCUGACGGCGGCCGAGGUGCUGGUGCGCUCCACGGCGGCCCGCAGGGAGCAGCCCCCGCCCGGCGGCCGCUCACGGAAGGCGCCGGGGCCGGCGGCCGUGCAGAAGCUCCGGGCCGGGGGCUCGCCCUGCCCCGCGGAGCCGGCUGCGGACGGAGCUCCCCGCGUUGCCCGGGCCCCGAGCGGCACCGGCGCCACCCGCGACUCCCCCGGAGCCGCCUCAGGAGUCCUAAGCACCAAAGCAUAUCCAGAACACCUGCUGCCAGUUGAAAAUUCUGUGCCCAUGUUUUUAUCCCAAAAGGAUCCUCCUAAAGAAGCUCCAGCAGAAAAUGGUCCUUUGGUGCUUCUGGAAAAUAGCAGAGGACCUGAAGAUGAUGUUUUUAUUUCCCAGUAUGCUACUGGCCAGAAGGAGGCUCUGAGAGCAGUAUUAAUGCAAAAAACUCAGGUUAUUCCUGUUCACAAGGAGGUGAAGGUGCAGCUCUUGGGAAGUGCCCCCACAGAGAAAAGGGAAGGUGCUGGCAGUGACACCAGGUCAGCAGCCAGGGAAGUGGAGUCUGCAACAACCAUUGCAGCAGCCACUGCUGCUGCCAUUGCCAGCACAGCUCCACUCCUCAAGAUUCAAAAUGAUUUGGAAGAAAAAAUGAACACAGUUUCAGAACUGCUUCAGAAACUGCAGGAGACAGACAGGCAGCUGCAACGAGCAUCUGAGCAGCAAAAAAAUACAAAGGCUCAACAUGAGGAGCCCCACUACCAGCAGAGAGUCAGUGAGCUUGAAAAAGAAAUUAAUUCUUUCAUGGUGCAAAGGAUUCAGCACCUGGAAAAGCUACAGGAGCAACAAAUGAAUAUUCAGUCCCACCUCAUCAGCUCUGCAGUGAACACCCGUGGCCUGCAGCAGGGUCCUGUGCCUGCCCCUGGGCCCCUGGCAGGGCACUGGGAGAAGCCAGAGCAGAGACCUCUCACUAAUGAAGCACCUUCAGCUCACAGGGGUUUGUUCCCUGCCAAUGCUGCACCUGCCCAAGUGUUCCCUGAAGCAUAUUCAAGCAAUUUUCCAAGUCAAGGGGCUCAUACACAAAAAUCUCCUCUAAAGACACCAGUUCCUCGAAGAUAUGCUCCAGAACCUGUACCCAAAAAUGGGAAAAUCUCAGAGAAAGAAAACCCUGUAGUAGAAAAAGAAAAUAUUCCCAAACCUCCAAGAGAAGGUGAAGGGAAAGCUCUGGAACAUGUUUUGAAUUCUCAAGAAACACCACUAAAGCAAACUGAAUUUUCCAAGAAGACAGGAUCGAACAGCAAUGAAAGCUACAAGAAUGCUGAGAAAGACAGAUACAAAGCUUUGCCUGCAAUCUUAUUUCCCACUUUGGAAAGGUACAAUUCAAUUGAGAAAACAGUGCAAAAAGCAGAUGAUCUACUUCAAGAUCUUGGCAAGUUGAGAAGAGAAAUGCACAAUAUUCUGCAGGAAGCAAGUUCAUGGAAAACUGACAUGACUGAUCUUAUUAAAACAAAAAUUUUUCCUGUUGCGCUUGAUCCUCCUGAACAUCAUCCAGUCAGCAAACCAUCCAUCCUUCAAAACGUCCAAGUGCCAAAGUCUAUCCUGACAGAUGCUGAAAGGAUUUUGAGAGGAGUGCAGAACAGUAAAAAAGUCCUUGAGGAGAAUCUGGAAGCUGUUACUCAUGCACAGGAUGGAGAUGCCUUGUAUGCUUUCAGCGACUCCUUGACUACAGACAGAGAUAUCCUGGAAGAGAUUCGUAUCCGAAGAACUGUGGAUGAGUGGAUCAAGGCAAUCAGUGAGGAAAUCCAGGCUGAAAUGGCAAAAAAUGAUUCAGAACAAGAGAAACGUGAUCAAAAAGCCCCAGGGAACAAGAAAGCCCAAAACCUCAGAGCUGUGAAAACCAAGAAGGAAACUAAAGAGAAAGCUGAAAACAUCCAAGGAGGCUUGACAAAAAAGCUUCCACCUCCAGCUCAGCCAUUGCAGAAGCAGGUGGAAGAUAACAUAAAGAAACAGAAGUUUAAAACUUACUUUUCUGAAAAUGUGCAAAGCAAAGGAAAAACGGCAGAUGGAGCUGUAGGUGGAACUGCAGUGGUGCAAAAUGAAGAUUUUCUGUCCCAUGUUUAUGGCAAACCCAUUUACCACGGGCGCCGGAGCACGCUUAAGAAAGGGCCCUACCUAAAAUUCAACUCUCCCUCUCCCAAAUCUAAACUUGCCAGACCCAAACUGAUAGAGACUGUUAGAGGCACAAAGGUCAGGUCAGCAAGGACCCAGACCUACUUUCACACUCAGAAGGUCAUCAGCAGCCCCAAGAAGAAGAAUCCUGUGUUGGUCCCUGCCCAGCAGAGCCAGUUCCUCUUCAGCCCCAGCCAGGAUGUCCCUGCUGCCCCUGGUCCCCUGGAAGGCCACCUCAUCCCCAUGGCUAUUCCUCUAGGUCAAACCCAAAGCAGCAACACAUCAGUGCAGCCUGCUGGAGUGAUCAUAGAUAAACCACACCCUGUCACAGUUACAACCUCUCUUCCUCCAGUGUCACCAAAGCCUCCUGUAGAGGUAAAAAAACCAAAUAUUGCUGUGAUAGAGAUGAAAUCAGAGAAAAAGGAGCCUCCUCAGCUCUCUGUGCAGGUGUUACCAAAUGUUGAUAUUGACAGUGUUUCAAGUACCAGGAAUGUAAGUCCUGUUCCUCCAAGCUGUGAGCCUGUGCUCCCUCCUGUCACUGCUGUAAUACAGACUCCAGAAGAAAUACACAGUGAGGAGGAGGAGGAGGACACAAAGCUUCCAGGAGCUAACUUCAUUGAUGUCACUGAUGUCACACAGGAUCAGGAAGAGGAGAAGGAUGAAAUUCCAGAAUUCCUUGAGCCUCUUGUGGAGCUUAAUGGCCAGUUUAAAGCUGCCUCACCACCACACAAUAGUCCUUUGUUUCCUCCUGUGCCUUCUGCUCCUCAGCAGCCUGCUGAUAUUUUAGAUGAACUGAUUCGAGCGAGAGAAACUAUAGAAAACAAGUUGGUAAAUUGGGUGGAACAAGAAAUAAUGGCAAAAAUCAUCAGUGAGAUGUGCCCAGCUCAGACAGAAGCAGUGCCCAGUGUUAGCAGCUCCAUAAAGAGUGAAGACAGUGAGCCUGUGACCCCUGGCAUUGCUGAAGUUGCAGGUGGUGGAGGAUUCCAGCUCUUUGUCAAUGCUGGUGUGCCUGUGGACUCAGAAAUGAUAAAUAACUUUGUAAAGGAAGCUCUCAGUGAAGCCAUUGCAACCAUGCUGGGUGACAGCCAGGCUCAGAGAGCAGCUCCUGAUCCUCUUCCUCCCUGCACCACCUCAAUGAUGGAGGCUCCUGUGCCUACUCCAGUGCCAACACCCCAGGCCACACCACCACCAACACCACCUUCAGAAAAAGAAUUGCCUCAGGUCACAACUCCAGAUUCAUCUCCAUCUCCUCCAGAGAUGAGUGGGGAUGUUCAUGAACAUGAAAAAAUUAAAGAAACAGAUCUGAAAUUUGGCUUCCCACGUGCAGGGGUUGAGAUUGCAGCUGCCAUGGGCCGAGUGGUCACCCCUGUGGUCACCCCUGUCACCACCCCUGUCACCACCCCUUCCCCAGUGGCCACACCAAGCCCUCCUGUCUCAGAAUGUGGCACCCAGGCUGGAAAAGGGGAAAGUCCAAAGCUUCCAAACCCGUGGGAUGGUGCAGAACUUCCUCUGGAAGAAGAGAACCCCAGUCCUGUCCCUGAAGAACCAUUCUGUCCUGGGACUGUGGAGAUGUCAGUGGCCAAUGAUGAGGAACCAGAGGCUUUGGUGUUCCCAUGCCAGCAGCUGCCAGAGAGGCCCUUGGAGCCCCUGCCCUGCCCUGCCCAGGUGCCAUCCCCUGUGCCCACAGUGAGCUCUGGGGCGUCCAGCCAGGAGAGCAGCCUCACCCCCACGGGCACUGAGACCACAGACAGACCCCUCUCAGAAGGGGAGGUGCUCUUCCCCUAUGGACAGCCCCUGCCUGCUGCAGCCUUAGCAGAAGGAGGAUUAUCUCUUCCAAACCUGGCUGAGAGCUUAUCCAGUACUCUCCGAGAUGCCAAUGAAAUGGAUUAUGAUCCUCCAAGUGAAGGGCAGGUUGUGAGGAGAAUGGGUAAAGGCUCUCACAGGGAUCCUGUCCUGGCUCUUUUAACCAAAUUAAAUCAAGCACCUGUUUAUGUACAAGAAGGAAUAGAGCACUCAGAGGAUUCUGAUGGCAGCAUUGGGGAGCUCAGUGAAGGUCAGAGGCCAAGGCUGUCCAGAGCACAGGAGAGAAUCCUGAUGGGAAAUUCCAUUUUCAUGGAGCAUCCAGCUGCCCAGAGCUUUGGGAACAGACCACGCCAGGGUCUCCGCUCUGCAUCUCCAGGGCAGGUUGUCCAAAUAGGAGCAGAAAUUCUUGGAGAUGCAGAUCCAAGUCCUAUUCCAAUGCUUUUGGUUGAACUGGAGUCACAGCCAGGUUCAAACCCUGCUCUGCCAGCAGCCCAGCCAAGCUGCAGAAUGACACCACUCCCAGAGGAUCUGUCCCAGGAGGAAAGCCAAGGAGCUGCACACGUUCAGAUUGUGAGACCCAGAGUUAUCUUUGUGAGAAGGAAAUCUGAGGAGAUGCAGCAAGAAGGAGAUGCUGCCCCUCACCUGAAUCCACAUCAUUCUGCAGCAGGGGUGUCAGUGCAGCUGCCUGGCAUGAGCACAGAGAAUGAAACUCAGAGUCUGAGCAGUGCAGGUGGAGAUUCAGAUUCUUCAGGCACAGACACAUUUUAAAGCUUAGGGCUGUUUCUGGCAGCCUCUGUCUGAAGAUGUUGUCACUGGUAUCAUCAGAGGUUGUUCGUCCUUAGAAGACCACUGUGACAAGCCAGUAAUUCAAAACUGUGUGUGAAAAAGACCUCUAGAAUUUGUAUUAUUAUGAAGAAUUUAUUUUUUUAGACUUACAAGAAUUUCUCUGCAUUUCAUGUUUGUUUCCCUAAAGAUUUUUUCCCAUCUUGAAGCCUGUGAAUGAGAGAUUGUAGAAAUAUCAGAAGUUCUUUUUGGCUUUAUGUUGAUCUCAUUGACCACAAGGUUCAGUUAAUUUGCUGCAGCAUCUGCAAGGCUAAAUGGAAAAGGAGAGAGAGCUUCAGCCUGCAAGGUUCCUGUAAGUAGUUUUCCGGAGUUGGAAAUGGUAAGCAC